AUUUGGGAUACUUGGACCUUUGGCGAAUAUUUGUCCGCACUUCCUCAUGUAUGAAAUGGCAUGCGGAAUCUAAGCAAUAUCGUGGGGAUUCAAGCUAUUGUAUGAAAUCGUCGGUUUAUGACAAUACCCAUAGAUGAGGCUUCGGCUAUAAUCCGUGUCUCAGCCGCGAUACUACGGAGUGUGCGAGCGUCUUAUCGGAUAUCUUGGGCGUUUGCGCGCGCAGGCGGCUAUUAUAUAUCGGGUGUGAUUGCUCCUUGGGCUUUUCCCAUGAUCUUGCAUUCGACACUUGCUCAGCUAGAGUUAUGGUUAGAGGGAUGCUGGAUCCCCGGGUGCUAGCGGUUGAUUAUGCGUAAGACCCCGGAUGAAACACCAUUGGCCGAUAGCCGGCUUUCCUUGGACCCGGUUACUUGAACGCUUUAGGCCGCCGAAAAGCCUUGGGGAGCAAAACAGGAAUUAGAAACCCCUUGGGUUAGUUCCCACGCCCGUUAUACCACUGCCUUGCUUAGAACUUCUGGGGGGCACUGCCCCUUCUCGGUUUGUUCGCAACUCUAAACGCGGGGAAUGCAACGCCCGCCCUGGGGGAUCUUACCGGGUUCGCAAGACACUUAAUAAUCUUCAAAAUGGAACUCUCUUGAA
rnacentral:rRNA from 1 species